GAGUUGCAACGCUUAGAAGGCAUUGAAGAAUUGGAGAGCACCAUGGCUGCCUCUGAAGCUCUAGAGAACAACCUGAUGAGCAGAAGCUGACGGUGGAGUGUCAGGCUCAUUGACUCUCUCGCUGCAGGACCCAGUGCUUUAAUAGCCUCUGAUGGCAUGACACCAGAUUCCAGACUCUGACCUCCCACAGGCAGCAGCACUCUCCACUGCAGUCAUGCCCAGUGGGGGCCACGCGUAUCACACGCACACAGAGCUCACUCAGACACCGCAAACUGCAGGGAUCAGGGAUGGCUGUCUUCAUGAGGAGAGAAAGGAAGGUCAAAGAAGUGUUCACUGAGACGUUGUCUUUGGUCCCUUGAACUGAAGUGGCGUCCAGAUACAGCUGCCUCAGCCGUCCCUCCCCCUCUGUCC